UACGGAGGGUGCAAGCGUUAUCCGGAUUCACUGGGUUUAAAGGGUGCGUAGGUGGGUUUGGUAAGUCAGUGGUGAAAUCUCCGGGCUUAACCUGGAAACUGCCAUUGAUACUAUCAAUCUUGAAUACCUUGGAGGUGAGCGGAAUAUGUCAUGUAGCGGUGAAAUGCUUAGAUAUGACAUAGAACACCAAUUGCGAAGGCAGCUCACUACACGGUCAUUGACAUUGAGGCACGAAAGCGUGGGGAGCAAAACGG
rnacentral:rRNA from 1 species